GAUCCUGGCUCAGAACGAACGCUGGCGGCAGGCUUAACACAUGCAAGUCGAGCGAGAACACCUUCGGGUGUUAUUAAAGCGGCAGACGGGUGAGUAACACGUGGGAACCUACCCUUUUACGGAAUAACGCAUGGAAACGUGUGCUAAUACCGUAUACGCCUCCCUUUGGUAAGCAGGGAGGGAAAGAUUUAUCGCUAAAGGAUGGGCCCGCGCCAGAUUAGCUAGUUGGUGGGAACUGCCUACCAAGGCAACGAUCUGUAGCUGGUUUGAGAGGAUGAUCAGCCACAUUGGCUGAGACACGGCCCGGACUCCUACGGGAGGCAGCAGUGGGGAAUAUUGCACAAUGGGCAAGCCUGAUGCAGCCAUGCCGCGUGAGUGAUGACGGUCUUAGGAUUGUAAAGCUCUUUCUGGUGAAGAUAAUGACGGUAACCAGUAAAGAAGCCCCGGCUAACUCCGUGCCAGCAGGCGGUAAUACGGAGGGGGCUAGCGUUGUUCGGAAUUACUGGGCGUAAAGCGUACGUAGGGAUUGAUCAGUUGGGGGUGAAAUCCCAGGGCUUAACCCUGGAACUGCCUUCAAUACUCAGUCUUGAGUCCGGAAGAGGUGAGUGGAAUUCCUGGUGUAGAGGUGAAAUUCAUAGAUCAGGAGGAACACCAGUGGCGAAGGCGGCUCACUGGUCCGGUACUGACGCUGAGGUACAAGCGUGGGGAGCAAACAGGAUUAGAUACCCUGGUAGUCCACGCCGUAAACGAUGAAUCAGCUGUCGGGCAGUAUACUGUUCGGUGGCGCAGCUAACGCAUUAAGCAUUCCGCCUGGAGUACGGUCGCAAGAUUAAAACUCAAAGGAAUUGACGGGGGCCCGCACAAGCGGUGGCAUGUGGUUUAAUUCGAGGGCACGCGAAGAACCUUACCGGCCCUUGACAUUUAGUGACCCCAGGAGACUGGGCUUUCCUUCGGGACACUAGGACAGGUGCUGCACGGCUGUCGUCAUCGUGUCGUGAGAUGUUCGGUUAAGUCCGGCAACGAGCGCAACCCCUGCUUUUAGUUGAGCAUUCAGUUGGGCACUCUAGAUGGACUGCCGGUGAUAAGCCGGAGGAAGGUGGGGAACGUCAAGUCAUCAUGGCCCUUACGGGCCGGGCUACACACGUGCUACAAUGGCGGUGAGUGGGCAGCUACCUCGCGAGAGGAUGCUAAUCCCCAAAAACCGUCUCAGUUCGAAUUGCUCUGCAACUCGAGUGCAUGAAGUUGGAAUCGCUAGUAAUCGUGGAUCAGCAUGCCACUGAAUACGUUCCCGGGCCUUGUACACACCGCCCGUCACACCAUGGGAGUUGGUUUUACGAAGCCGGUGCGCUAACUUUUGAGGCAGCCGACCACGGUAGGGUCAGCGACUGGGGUG
rnacentral:rRNA from 1 species